AUGAUACUCUCUAGAAAGCUGCUACAUGCCUACAUACUGUGUUUUAUUUCGUGCUUUUAUUUCUUUGUGUAGGACAUUUUUAACCAUGUUAUAAAUGAUUUGGAGAUCUUCCUGGACAAAGUGUCCGCCGCAGUAAAUGCACCUUUACCGCAAGAGGACAAGAGAAAGAAGAAAAAAGCGUUUCAGAAGAAUAAACCAAAGAUUAAUGGUAAUAUCCUUCUACUAGUGUAUUGCUCCACAGGCAUAUGUAAACAUAGUAAUUACUGGAGAGUUACCUCCUAAGGACUCAGACUUUAGACUGUUAGUGUAUACAGAUUUUUUAUGUGCAAACAGUGCAGAUAUAUUGAUACUUUCAUAACGUUUGUGUCUUAUAACCUUCUCGCGCGUGUCUCUCCUGCAGGACCAGCUGACAGUAUGCCGCCCUGGGAGGAAUAUAUCUCCUGUCUUCAGAAAAUCAAAUAUGGAUUAAAUCUCUUGAGUCAGCUGGAUGGGACACUGACCAACCCCACUGCUCCUGACUAUGUCCACAUCUUCUUCUCUAGUUUAGGCAUGGUGAGUGCUUUUAUCUUCAUGUUUACAGCAAGCUGGCUGAAGCCAGGACUGUGAUGUUUGUGUCACAUGUGUUUUUAUUUAUAAUGGCAUAUGGUAUACCUCUUCCAUUUCUCCACAGAUAGUCCCUCAGUAUCCUGCGCACCUGCCUCCCACCGUGCUCUCGCCCAUGCUGACAGAGUCGGCCCUGCAACUGCUCAGUCAGGUUGUUGGCCCAGAGGAGGAGCUCCUCUGGAGAUCUCUGGGAGAUAGUUGGAACAUUCCCAGGUGUAUAAUCGUCACACUUACACAAGUCUUUUAUACAGGUGUUUACAUUCCUAUAUACA
rnacentral:lncRNA from 1 species